rnacentral:rRNA from 1 species
CAGUCGCCGCGGGAAUACGAAGGGGGCUAGCGUUGUUCGGAUUAACUGGGCGUAAGGGGCGCGUAGGCGGGUUUUUAAGUCAGAGGUGAAAUCCCAAGGCUCAACCUUGGAACUGCCUUUGAUACUGGAAGUCUUGAGUCCGGGAGAGGUGAGUGGAACUGCGAGUGUAGAGGUGAAAUUCGUAGAUAUUCGCAAGAACACCAGUGGCGAAGGCGGCUCACUGGCCCGGUACUGACGCUGAGGCGCGAAAGCGUGGGGAGCAAACAGGAUUAGAGACCCCCGUAGUCCCUGUCUCUUAUAC